rnacentral:lncRNA from 1 species
AUGGGGAGUACGAGGUGUACGGACGUAUAUACGGCCAUACACCCCAUCCCAGGUUGCUGCCCGUGCUCCCUGCAGCUUGCCCCCAAAUUCCAAAAUAGCGUCCCCAAAUUCGGAGCAGGACGGUUCCCUCUCCUCAUGCCAGGAGGCAGGACGGUCACCACGGGAGGCGAGGUGCCCCCAUUCCGCCCGCCGCCUUCUUGGCAGAGCGAUAGCGGGGGGCUGCCCUCCUUCGGGCACACCUCGGCUCCACGCACCUGGGCAGGUGCCUCAGCCACCAGGGACACCCGCCACGAGUGUCCCAAGGGGAAAAGGAGCCCUGGGGCCACCCGGCUGUCGCCCCCGAGGGCUCGCAGCGGGGCUGAGGGCGCGGGGGGCCGGCCCGGCGGAAGAUGGCGGCCGCGCUGUCGGCACCCAGCUCUUCCCCGGCUCGGUCCCCGCGGCCGCCUCCGUCCCCUCCCCUCUGCACCGCCUCCUUCCCCACCCUCCCGUCCCUCCUCCUCCUCCUCCUCCUCCUCCUCCUCCUCCCCGGGGAGGGGAGCGGCAGCGGCUGCCCUGGCUGAGCCGGGCUCGUGUGCUUCUCUCUCGGCAGGAGUCCGGGAAGAUGGCCGGGGCCGAGGCGGGGAUGAGCGGCGGCGGCAUCCAGCAGCAGCAGCAGCCCCAGCAGCACCCGGCGGCGGUGGGAGCGGCGGUGGGGGCAGCGGACGAGUCGUCGGACAGCGAAGGGGAGCACGAGGGCCCCCAAAAACUCAUCCGCAAAGUGUCCACCUCGGGGCAGAUCCGCAGCAAGGUAAAAGCGGGGAGGCAGCCGCCCAGCCCCGCCGCCCCGGGGGCCACUUUGGCCGCCCCGGGGGCAGCCGCCGCAUCCCGAGCGCAUCCCUCUGCCCCCCGGGGCGGCGGGGGCGAGGCAGCUGCGCCUCUUCCUUCCUUCCCUCCCUCCCUCUCCCCUCCUCCCCGGCCAGCUGUUUUGGCCACAUCUGUCCCCGGCUGGCAGAAAGCCCCCCGGGGCGGCGGGGCCGCGGGGCCGGAGGGGAAACCGCCUGCCAAAAGGCGGCCGGCAGCCGCCCCGCCUGCCUCCGGGGUGUGGGGGAAGCGGCGGCUGCCUCCCUCCUGCUCCUCUUCCUCGGCGGCAUCCCGCCCUGCACGGCUUCUCCUGCACCCCCGGACCCGCUUUGGGAGCAGGAGGGGUCGUGCGAGGCAGGGGGAGGCAGCGCUGCCUCCGGGCUGUAG